rnacentral:rRNA from 1 species
CCUACGGGCGGCAGCAGUGGGGAAUAUUGCACAAUGGGCGAAACUCUGAUCCAGCGACGCCGCGUGCAUGAAGACGUCUCUCGUAAUGUUAAGCUCCUUUAGCACGGAAGUAAAUGCCGGUACCUGAGUCUGACGCACCGUCUAACUACGUGCCAGCAGCCGCGGUAAUACGGAGGCGGCAAGCGUUAUCCGGAUUUAUUGGGUGUAAAGGGAGCGUAGUCGGUUGGACAAGUCUGGAGUGAAAGGCGGAGGCUCAACUCCCGGACUGCCCCUGAAACUGUACGGCUGGAGAGCAGGUGAGGUAAGUGGAAUGUCUGGUGUAGCGGUGAAAUGCGUAGAUAUUA